UGUUGUUGUUACUUCGCAAAU
rnacentral:piRNA from 1 species